UAGUACUGCAAUGUAAACAUUGCAGUUUUUCAUAAUCUGCAAUGUUUUACAUUGCAGGACUA
rnacentral:miRNA from 1 species